CACGAAGACGCUUCCUGCUAUUGUUGCUGGAAGAAAGGUUCUUAUUUCUCCCAAAACAUCGAGUCACAAUGAAGACGAAAGCGAUGAUAUUGCAUCACGUUGUUAUCGAGCGAAUUACAGCCAACUGGAAAACAUCACAUUGCGUGUUUACGCAGCGUAAGUGCCAAAUUUUGACCACUUGGAUCGAUUAGCUGAGAAUGUAAUAUAGAUCAUACAGGGAUGAAAUGUGCCGAAUGAGAAUAAUGGAAUGUGUAUAAAUCAGCUUGAACGAAUAUUUUCGUUCUUUACGAUUGUGAUCGGACAUUCGAAUUAAGGAAGACGAACUCGAUCAAGCGUAACGUGACGCAUAAUGUAUGUGUUAAACAAAUAAUAUACCUAAAA